rnacentral:snRNA from 1 species
AUAUUUUACCUGGCAGCGGAGACACCAUGAUCAGGAAGGUGGUUUUCCCAGGGUGAGGCUCAUCCAUUGCACUGCAGGUGUGCUGACCCCUGCGAUUUCCCCAAAUGCCGAAACUCGAAACUCGACUGCAUAAUUUGUGGUAGUGGGGGACUGCAUUCACGCUCUCCCCUG